ensembl:lncRNA
UGACAUUGAUAUGACAUGAAUUUAUUUUUUAAAAGUCUGCCAGCCACCAUCUUGCAGAUGUACCUCAGCACAGGUAGUCUCCAAUGAAGACUGACAUCAACAAAGUCCGUAGGCUGUAAAGGUUCAAUUUACGGUCAUUCAAAGUUAACUUAAUAUCUAUUCAUGUGCACAAUUUCAUAAAAAGGUAUAUGGUAUGGGACAUUGGAAGAAUUGUACAAUUUCAAUAGCAUUAUAAUGAAAAUGUAUUUCACAAUAUAAUUUCAAGUACAUGUGAUGGUGAAUGCAAAGAUUUACACCAAGUGUGAGAACGAACAGGUUCGUUAAACAAAAAUCAAUUCUGACAUUUCACUAUCAAUCAUGUUACUAGUAUGCAAAAUCACAUUUCACCAUCAAUCAUGUUACUAGUAUGCAAAAUCACAUUUCACCAUGGAAUUAAAUUGACAUCAAAAGUAUUUUUGUUGCUGCAUUUUAGAUAACCCUUUCCCUUUUCCUAACCUUAACCUGCUCCUCUUAACCUGCUAUGUUAAUUAUCCUGACCUUAACCUACUCCUCUUAACCUGCUACGUUAAUUCUCCUAACCUUAACCUACUCCUCUUAACCUGCUAUGUAAAUUCUCCUAACCUUAACCUACUCCUCUUAACCUGCUAUGCUAAUUCUCCUAACCUUAACCUACUCCUCUUAACCUGCUACGUUAAUUCUCCUAACCUGCUACGAAAAAUACAUUUUUGACAAAAGUUGCUAUGUUACCAUACCCGGUCCACUAGGUGGUUGCUAUGUUACCAUACCCGGUCUGCUAGGUGGUUGAUAUGUUACCAUACCCGGUCCGCUAGGUGGUUGCUAUGUUACUAUACCCGGUCUGCUAGGUGGUUGCUAUGUUACCAUACCCGGUCUGCUAGGUGGUUGAUAUGGUACCAUACCCGGUCUGCUAGGUGGUUGCUACAUUCACAGUAUUAGGCAAGACUGCAUUCUCUUCCUGGGCACCAGAGGCAAAGAAUAAUCUACAAUCCAUGCUUCAUCUAGAUAUGUUAGUGGCACUGAAUGGAUUUAAAAUAUUGAUGGGAGACUCUUACAGAGAGUAAAUGCUUUUUUUUUAUGUUGUUCAAACAUUCAUAGAUGACCUGCAGGGUCAGAUAAUAAUAACACAGUGGUUGUCGAGGGUGCAACAGGUCAGCACCUCAGGAGUAAAUGUCAGUUGGCUUUUCAAAGCCGAUCUUUCAGAGUUAGAGACAGCAGGUGCGGUAGAUAGAGAGUCGAAACAGAAGGUCUGGGACAGGUAGCACGUCCGGUGAACAAGUCAGGGUUCCAUAGCCACAGGCAGAACAGUUGAAACUGGAGCAGCAGCACAGCCAGGUGGACUGGGGACAGCAAGGAGUCAUCAGGCCAGGUAGUCCUGAGGCAUGGUCCUAGGGCUCAGGUCCUCCGAGAGAGAGAAAGAAAAAAAAAAUACAGAGAAUUAGAGGGAGCAUACUUAAAUUCACACAGGACACCGGAUAAGACAGGAGAAAUACUCCAGAUAUACUGCAGCAUAAAUACUGGAGGCUGAGACAGGAGGGGUCAGGAUCAAAUCAAAUCAAAUUUUAUUUGUCACAUAGACAUGGUUAGCAGAUGUUAAUGCGAGUGUAGCGAAAUGCUUGUGCUUCUAGUUCCGACAAUGCAGUAAUAACCAACAAGUAAUCUAACUAACAAUUUCAAAACUACUGUCUUAUACACAGUGUAAGGGGAUAAAGAAUAUGUACAUAAGGAUAUAUGAAUGAGUGAUGGUACAGAGCAGCAUAGGCAAGAUACAGUAGAUGGUAUCGAGUACAGUAUAUACAUAUGAGAUGAGUAUGUAAACAACGUGGCAUAGUUAAAGUGGCUAGUGAUACAUGUAUUACAUAAGGAUGCAGUCGAUGAUAUAGAGUACAGUAUAUAUACGUAUGCAUAUGAGAUGAAUAAUGUAGGGUAAGUAACAUUAUAUAAGGAAGCAUUGUUUAAAGUGGCUAGUGAUAUAUUUACAUCAUUUCCCAUCAAUUCCCAUUAUUAAAGUGGCUGGAGUUGAGUCAGUGUCAGUGUGUUGGCAGCAGCCACUCAAUGUUAGUGGUGGCUGUUUAACAGCCUGAUGGCCUUGAGAUAGAAGCUGUUUUUCAGUCUCUCGGUCCCAGCUUUGAUGCACCUGUACUGACCUCGCCUUCUGGAUGAUAGCGGGGUGAACAGGCAGUGG